rnacentral:snoRNA from 16 species
GGCGAUGACGAAGGGUGACGUCCCUGAGUGGUGAUGAAGCCCGCGAUAGCUGAGCA